rnacentral:rRNA from 1 species
UACGGAGGGUGCAAGCGUUAUCCGGAUUUACUGGGUUUAAAGGGUGCGUAGGUGGAUUUGUAAGUCAGUGGUGAAAUCUCCGAGCUUAACUCGGAAACUGCCAUUGAUACUAUAAGUCUUGAAUUAUCUGGAGGUGAGCUGAAUAUGUCAUGUAGCGGUGACAUGCUUAGAUAUGACAUAGAACAGCAAUUGCGAAGGCAGCUCACUACGGAUAUAUUGACACUGAGGCGCGUAAGCGUGGGGAUCAAACAGG